rnacentral:lncRNA from 1 species
CAAGAAUACCCUCGACAAAAGAGCAUCGCCCAGAUUGCAGAUUCCAGCCAGACACCGGUUCACCCCGAAUCCCCAAUGCCUGGACCAUCUGGCCUUUCCACGUGUGGACGUACGGAUGAGUGUGCGCCGUGCUCGGAAACAUCCGGCCAGGAUAAACCAACUUCCACACCAUCUCACCGAGGCCCAAAGAGAAAGGUGUAUUCACCGAAGACCGCAGCCGUCAUCAAGCGACUAAAGAUUGAUGCGCAAAGGUAUCGGAAGUCAGCUAGGAUAAAAAGCCGCCGAAAAAUUACUA